rnacentral:lncRNA from 1 species
UUUCCAAGACACAAAUCUUUCAUCUCUUCCUCUCUCUCUCUCUUACCUCUCGUCUGAACACCACCAUCAUCAUCACCAUUUUCAUUUUUUGAUCAAGUUAUGAAGAACCAUGUAUAGUACAAGUUAGUUUCAAGUUUGUUUGAAGAUCCAAGAAGGUUUUCAAGGUGAACCCAAAGAAGAACAAGCUCUAUCUCAUCAAUUCUAUCAAAACCCAUCAAACUUUUGAAAGGUAUAAUCUUACUUUUAACAAUCUUGUUCUUGAAUUCUUGAUGAAGAUGAUGAUGGAAAGUUUCACAUAAACUUGGAAUUCUUCUCAAACUUUGAAAUCUAAAUAAGAAAAUGGUUUUAAUCAAACUAAAAAUGGAAGUAUGUGUGUAUGUGUGUAUGACCAAAAGUAUGUGUAUGUGUAAUUGUAUUUUGAUAAUAUGUUAAGUAUUGAAAGAAAGAAUGCUUGAAAAGUUCAUGUUUACAUGAUUGAAAGUGAUUAACAUGAAAAUGAUUGUGAUUUAAGUGGGUUAAUGAAAAUUUUAGAAUAAAGUAUGUAUAGUGGCCGUGAGUGUGUGAAUGUAUGCGUUAAUGAUUAUGUUUUGAUUGUUAGUUGAUUUAUGAUUGAUAUGAUUCUUGGAAGGUUAAUGCAUGUUUAAUCAAAAAGGUUCUUUAUAAAAGUUCUUGUGAUUUGAGAUGAUUAAGUGAAAAAGUUGAAGUUUGGGAGUAUAUGUAUAUGUGUAAUGUUACAUGCAUUGAUGGUGUGAUGAUUUGAUGAAUGAUUGAACAAAGAUUAUGUUUUGAAUUUAUUAAGGAAUUAUAAUAAAUGUAGGAUGAAUGUAUUUAAGUCUUGAAUGAUGAUGAUGAGAUGAACAUGCAUUAGGUACUUGUACACAAGCAUGUGUGAUGACUAAAUGAUCAUAAUUUGGUGAACUUAAAAUAAUGUGAUUAAACUAAGUUAAAACAGAAUGUGAACGCUAAAAAUGAUGUUUUGUGUUAUGAUAUGAUGAUACAAAAUCAUGUCAUAAGUUUGGUAGCUUUGCAUGUUGUACAUUGGGUGAAAUUGUGAGAUAUAUAUGACAUGCAUGAAAUCUGCACUAUCAUGAGUAUAACCAUCAUUUUAUUCAGUAAAUAAUAUGUGUUGUGUUAAAUAAUCGGGUUGUUUGCAAGAGGCGACUCGAAGGAUAAGUCGAGAGAUCAAUCCGGAAGCGAUACUUGACUCAAGGGAAAGCUUUAAGGUACGUGGCUUUAUGCUCGUAGAGAUUUGGUUAUUCAUUUGUAUCAUUAUAUGUUAGAAUAAUGAUGUAAGAUCAUGAAAUUCGGUUUGUUCUUAAGCGGUGGAUUUCGUAUGAAUGAACCAAAUGGAUGAAUGUAAUUAAUGAUAAUUUUGGCUGUUAAAAAGUGAUGGAUUUCACUAAAAUAUCCAAACGAAUCAAAAUUACAAAUCGGUAAAGGUUUGAUUGAAUAAAAGCGAUGGAUUUCGCUAAGUCAAUCGAACGGGUCAAAAAUGAAGUUCUAAUGCAUACCGGAAUGGUUGCAUUAGUGAGGACUUUGGUUAAUACCCGAUUGAUGGGUAGGAUUUCAAAUAUAUGUGUAAACUGAGUAACGGGAACACGGAUUUAAAAGUCAAAAGACUCGGAGUAUGAGUUAUAACUAAAAGAUGAUGGAAUUCACGAAUAGAAUUCGUGUCAAUUAUGUUCAACUGUUUUGAGGUUGAACGGGUCGAAUAAUUAUAAAUGCAUACCGGAUAACGGAUGCAUAACACCCGAGGAUAGUACCCCAAGUAUUAAGAAACAUUCAUGGUUAUGAUGUUUAUGUGGAUUAAAUGCAAUCAAAUGAGUUUGUUCGUUUAAAACAUAAACGGGUCAAAUAAUUCAUAAAUAAAUACUAAGCCGAAAGCUUAUACGUUAAUAAUUUUGUAAAUCCGGAUGGUGGAUUUUGAAUCCGAAUGAUAAAGGAUCAAAUUACGAUCAUGUAGGAAGAAAUGAUACGUUAAAUGGAUAAACGAAUUGAAAGUUAUGGUCAUUUUUGUGAAGAGGGCAAACAGGAAUAAAAUCCUGCAGAUCAGACCGUAACCUAUGGCUGGGGGCCAUAGGCUACGGUCCAGGCCUUCUAUCCCGGUUGAAUAAUGUGGACCGUAAGCUACGGUCCUGGUGCGCGUGUGGUGUGAUAUAUUUUUGUGUAUAUUUUUAGCCCUUUUUAACCACUUUAGUCAAGUUUUAAAUUUAUAAAACACGAUAUUUACUAACACCAAACACACAUGUGGGCAAGUGCACCCAUCGUGAGCGUAGUAUAGUGUUGGUAAGAUACCGAGGUCGUCCAAGGACACAAGAGCUUUUAAUACCGGAUUAUCCUCAACGUCUAAU